UUUAUUUUUUCAAUACUCAUUUAAUCUCCUGAUAUGUAUUUUCUCAUUUGUAGGAAAGGUUUUAAUCUGAGGCAGAGACCCAGUUCUGGUGUGUUUUUAUUUGGACGUGGCCCCUUUAAGGGUCACAUGGUGUUGUGAACAGGAAGUAGUUGGGAGUGAGGAGAAGCAUGGCAUCAGGUAGUGCUGUCCUCCAGAGCAGCCUCCAUUCACUGACACCUCCAACCUGCUGAAGCCCCAGUCCUGAGGAAAAAAAAGCUAAAAUACAAUGCAACGGUGAAUGAGAUAAAGAAGGACCAAAGUGGACUGUGAUCUAGUCUGGGCUGACACUGCUGAAGGUGACCAUCCAUUCAGAACCAAAUCACAUGGUGAAGGACAGGAAGUGUUUAACCAGGAGGGAGGGGAGAAGACCGGCAGAGAAGACAAAGGAAAAUACAACAGGACAGAAAAGAACGCAGAAGCUUUCAUCAUCUUCCUCACUCAGCAAAAGAGGGAAAGACGGUGGUCAGCAUGUCUACGACUCAAAGGGAGCCAUCUGAGCUAAGCCUUCGUUAAAGCACGGUGAGAAAAGAGGGACAAGACAAAACCAUCCACAGGGGGCGAUAACCCAACCAAACGGGUGGGUUGCCUGUUAAUUGAGUACAAAUCAAAGUGUCCCACUCCGGCGUCCUGUCUCGCACCACUGCCUCUGCCCACAACACCCACCUACCGCAAAUACAACAGUGGCCGACGGGGGAGGUUUUAAUUCUAAUACACUGACAGCACCGUAUGUGUGAGUGUGAGUGUGUGUAUGUGUGUGUGUGUGUGUGUCAACAUGUAAAGUUGAUUAGCUCCUCAGCUGCAGCAUGGCUAAUUAAAAGUGUCUCCUGCUUGUUAACCCAGUGCACACUCCCAGCCUGCCUUUCUGCACAGCGCAGCUCUGACGCUCCAUAAAUCCUGCAGCAGCUCAAGCUCCACUGAUUCAUGGUCUUUUUAUUCAGCCUGAAACACCAACACACACACUUCCUGUCUUUAAAUGGCUACAAUUAAUCAGCAUGGAUCCACAUGAUUCAUUAUUCAUGUUUUGAUUCCAAUCAUCUUGGUUUUUAUUUACUCAAAACUGAGAGAAAUGUUUACUUUCUGUAUUAGAUUUAAAUCCAGUGCCGGUGCAGAGGAAAGAAGACAGAAAGAAGAACUCAACAUCUGACUGUUCUCCAGUUCUCCACAGUCACAGAAACACGUACACGGCCACACAGAUCUCAUGUUUGUCCGUCCCCAUCAAUCCCUAUACAACAUAAUGAACUGACAAUUACCCUGUGCAUCUGCAUGACAUCCAUGUGUUGAACUUAAUAGAGCUGUGAGUUGCAGCUGAGGUCACAUUCAACCAACCUUCCUGCCACAUACCAGCACCACCUCCUCCUACUGCACCGAUCAAUACCCAUUCCCUGACAACAUGAGACCCCUGUGGUGUUGAAAAAAAAGGCUGUGAGUCUGAUCAAUGCUUCAUUUUUACCUCUAAUCCCCCCCAACUGAGCAUCAGCCCUUCACAAUGCAUAUAUUACGGCACAAAGUACUCUUAACACCACUAUUACUUCAUUUUAAAGAGAACAGAAAAAAAAGAAAAACUGCAGCAGUAAUUUAUGUUAUAUAAGCUCUAUGCUCUGUAUACAACACCCUAUAUCACUAUGUCAGUGCAGAACAGCUGCUUCCAGACCUGCCCUGAAGUACACAUGUUGUCCACUAGGGCUGUCAAAAAGAAAAUAGU